GCUGUUGCCAGAAGAGGUUGUCUGUGAUGCUAUCUACUGAGGUUAAAGACUUUUUGAAGUAAAGAGGAGCAUCUCAUUUGAAACUGAUGUCUAUCAUGGAUAUUUAACUGAAGUUCUGUGAGUAUCCCAACUUAACCAUGAAGAUGAACUGCAAACUGUAAGUCAUUAAUUUCUCAUUACUCUUGGGCACAUUGAUGUAUUUUUGCUUCCUGGUGAGUUAACCCGUUGGCUAAAGGUUGAUCUGAGUAGUAAGGAUGUUUUAUUGGUUCAUUGGUUUCUUAGGUGUUUGGUUUAUGUUGGUUUUAAUGGUUUUUUUAAAAUGGUUACGAGAUCCAAGUUAUUGUUGUAAGCUGGAGUAAUUGGUUGGGUUCUGAUGUCUUAAGUCUUCUUUCCAGCUACUUUCCUGAGCUCUGCAUCUUCAACACACGAGUGUUGCUUUACUGAUGAGGGUGUGGUCUGAGUGAGCGGAGGUGCAUACUGGGAUACAGAGCUGUCUGAAUUCUACAGGUCUGUAGGCACGCCCCCUCAGGGGAAACCAAGUGUUUCAGAAACCGUCGUGACGUCAGUUACAUGGACUGGAAUUUUCUUUAAGAUGGAGACGGGAUUCAGAAGGAGAAACGCCAGGGGGAGAUGAGGGGGCUCCUCAUCUCAACAGCUGAAACACAACUUCAGUCUGACAGAGAGAACCAUGGAACACAUUCAACAGUCCCCUCCAUGCAUCGUGAGUCCUCAUGAAAAGUUUAAUUUCCAAGAAGGUCUUAUUUGGGGCCAUCCCCAUAUGGAUCCUGCUCCUCAAGAGCCAACCCCCCUCCACUGAGUGGUCUUCUGAAGAGAUGACUUCCUUCCUGUCCUCAGGCUGAUUAAAGCUGCACUGUUUGCAUCUGUGAAGGCCCCUCAUUCAGGAAACCACUGGACUACAAAGAAAUGACUUCAGAAACGUUGAAUCAACCUGGGACACAUUUUGGAGACGCCAAGCAUAAUCUAUCACCAAUGUGGGACGCCACUGAAAAAUGUUGCACACAAUUAACUUCUCUGGAGACAUUGGUUGUUCUGUUCUGGGUGCCCUGGCAGGAGAGCUGGGGUUGGAUGAUGGAACGUUAUUUGGCAUGAGGUUUUUUACCCUGCAUGAUUGUUUGGCCUUUUAUGGAUCAGUGUUGUGUGUGUGUUUGGGUUUGACAUGAGAUGGAUUUUUUCAUCGCUAGGGUUCUACUGUGUGUGUGGGUGUGUGUGUCUCCCACUCACACCUGGUAUGGGGUUCUACGUGCCUGUCCUGGGUUCUGUGUGUGUGUGUGUGUGUGUGUGUGUGUGUCCGGCUUGCUUUGACAGUGAUAAUGUUCAUACGGGGGUCUGUGUGAUUGGCUUGGGAUAUUGGAGUGGGCAAAUAAAUCAUACCUGAUGGACGGCCACACGUUUACUUAAGGGCCUCCAGUAGACAUGAAGAGCCCUGAGCGAUGCUCCGGAGCGAGAUCCAACACACUGGGCAGGAAGGAGAGUAUCCAAAUCAAGGGUAAAGGAUGCAAGCGGCGUGUUCAGAUCAGUGACUUCAAACUAGGACUACACCAAUCAGGAUCAAUGGAGGAUGGACACCAAAAGGAAUUCCACAAGGAGAGUGUGACGUUGGAAAGGGACCUAAAUGGAUAUUCAAGAUGACCUUCAGACCUGUAAUGAGACGGCUCUUCCUACCAGCCUGGAUUGAUGGAGAGCCCUGUGGAUCUUGUCUUGCUCUCAGUUGCACGUCUUCUCAGGCUGAACUCUAAUUGUCUCGGACAGGACUAGCUGAACAAUUGGUUCCCUUAAAUCAGAACCAAUCCGGGAACUCCAUCUAGUGCGCUCUUCGAGCUGAAGUUGUGCUCUUCAGCUGAGGAGGUAAGGAAACCUUCACUGGGGCUUCAAGAUGUAAAGAGGAGAAUGUUUCAAAGUGUUCCAUGGUACUCUGAUGAAGACCGUUGGUGUGUUCCACUGGCUGAGAGGAAGAACCCACACAUCUUCCUCUUGGCCUUUCUCCUCUCAGAAUCCUGGCGCCAUCUUGAAGGAUAUUCCAGCUCAUGUAACUGAUGUCACGACAGAUUCACAAACACUUGGUUUCUCCUGAGGGGCGUUUCUAUAGAACUGAAGACUUCAGACGGCACUGUAUCCCAGCAUGCAUCUCUGCUCACUCAGACCACACCCCCAUGAGUAGGAUGCAACACUCUUGGGAUGGAGAUGUAGUGUUUUAUAAGUAACGAGGGAGCAGACUAAGGGGAUUAGAACGUAAUGGAAUGUCAAGUCUAAAUCUUUAAACCAUGAAGAUGGUUGGAAAAGUCAGGAAUUUGGCUUAUUUUUAAUAUGGGCAGUCCUUUCACUCGGAUGCUCACUUGAAAUGUACAUGCGUUGGCUGGCUGGCAUGAUUUGCUGUCGGCUCUCUGUGAGCUCAACGUUUAGAUUUUCUCUGGUUUGUACCCUGAAUAAUCUAGAUAAUUGUAAAAUGUAGACACGGUUUUGCAUUGAAUGAUUCCAGGAUUUUAGGUUUAAAGUUGUUGUGCAUGGUAGUUUGGUUCUUCGUAUGGUUUUGAGUGAUUAUAACUUGUACACACUGGGUGCAUAAUAAUGUAAUGUUACACUGAAUAGUAUUAAUGACCAACAGCAACAAACAGAUCCCCUCAAGGUAAGUCUGUUGGCUGUAUUUUAAUGAAGACCAUCGCUGGACUUCAGGAUCUUCCUCCGUUCAGCUCAAGGUGAGGCACUGGUUACGUUUUUUCUUUGGUUGGUUCCGGCUGGAAUGUUCGGAUUCCAGUCGGACGGUUUGUGCUUCCCGCCGUGGAAGGUUCUGAGUGCGGUCACUUGAUUUAGUCCCAAUGGUUAGCAUAGAAAGUUGUAGUCUUGACAACCAUAAGAACACUGACACGAAUUUCGUACAAUAUGUUAAUUUCCGAUGGUUGCGCCGUACUUUUAACCACGUUGACGGGACUCUCGCUGCGUACAAAACGGCGUUCUACUUGCGGCCCAAUUUUUGGUGAAGGCUGAAAAUCAUUUCAAGGUGGAAGACAAGUUGAGUAAAUUUGAUUUAAUAUUGAUACUGCUUAGUGUUCAUUGUUACUUCACUGUUACUUGCUGAUAUAAACCUCCUGCUGUAGCUCAAAGGUGAGGCUGAGAGGCUUGGGACCGGAGGCUUGUGGUGCCAGGAUGGACCGGAGACUGAGGCUGGAGACCAGGGGCCUGCAGCACCGGACCAGAGGACCAGGAAUCCAUGGCUGAAGGAGCUGAUGGAGGCCCUGCCUGGUGGAGGAGCCAUGCUGAAAGCCCUGCCUGGUGGAGGAGCUGACGGAGGCCCUGCCUGGUGGAGGAUGUCUGUCGUGGGACCAGGACUCUUUCUGAGGAGAGCAGAUGGAGGAGCUGAGACGCUGGAGGACAACUAGGAAUAAACCAACAAGGAUUCCUCAACGUGUUUCUGAAGCGGAGGCGAGCUGAUGGGGGAGCCGUGAAUCUGGAGGAUGACGUCACUCUACCAACAAAGAUU